rfam:Gossypium raimondii Chr12_contig_813, whole genome shotgun sequence.
CAUUAAGAAUUUCAUUCAUUUCUACUAGUAAAAUCUAGCUACUGCAUGCUAGAAUGAGGUACAUAUGACACGCCACAUGUAACUAUCUGGUUACUAUAAACCAGCCCAACUUUUAAUGGUAGAAAUGGAUGAAAUUUUUAACA